rnacentral:rRNA from 1 species
UAGGGAAUAUUGCACAAUGCGCGAAAGCGUGAUGCAGCGACGCUGCGUGUGGGAAGAAGGCCUUCGGGUUGUAAACCACUGUUGGGAGUUAAGAAGUCCAUGGUCGGAAACGGCCAUGGUUGACGAAGGCUCCUGAGGAAGCCAUGGCUAACUCCGUGCCAGCAGCCGCGGUAAUACGGAGAUGGCAAGCGUUGUUCGGAAUCACUGGGCGUAAAGCGCGCGCAGGCGGCCGGGCCAGUUGGAUGUGGAAUUGCAGGGCUCAACUCUGUAACGACGUCCAAUACUGUCCGGCUAGAGGUAGGUAGGGGAGAGUGGAACUCCUGGUGGAGUGGUGAAAUGCGUAGAUAUCAGGAGGAACGUCGGCGGCGAAGGCGACUCUCUGGGCCUAACCUGACGCUGAGGUGCGAAAGCCAGGGUAGCGAACG